UAACGGCCGUUAUUUGAAACCAUGGUCGUAACAAGCUCUAAUAGAGCCCACAACUCCGGAUAUCCAUCCAGUUAUGCCAUAAAACUCUGAAUCAACUCAGUACAAAGAUUUAAGUUUUAUUUAGGCAAACUUUAUAACAAAAUCAUUUCACCACAGGAACAAAAUCCACCAAAACAUCUAGACUAGUAAAAUAUUCAAAAGCGUUUAAGACAACGAUUGCUAAAAUGUUAUAAUUUUGGUUAACAACUCAUCUUAAUUACAAUAUCCAUACAUGAACUUAGUAAUCAUAUGCGCACAAGUCAAGUGGCUGGCACAGUAAGAUUUACUCAGUAGUGUGUCAUACAGGUGCUUUCAGGUGUAAUUUGGAAAAGCUUUGUGAGUUUCAUAUUAGAGUUUAAGUACCUCCGACAACUUCAUAGAAGAAUUAGUUCAAGUAUUCUG
rnacentral:misc_RNA from 1 species